GCGGCUAUAGCUCAGUGAUAGAGUGUGUGCUUAGCAUGCAUGAGGUCCUGGAUUCAAUCCCCAGCACCUUCA
rnacentral:tRNA from 1 species